CUGUACAUUGGGAAAGGUGCCGAGACAUGAACUUUGGUCUUCUCUGCAAUCCAUCUGGAGCAUUCAGUGACAACAUCGACUUUGAAGUUGCACUGACCUGGCCAGCCCUGCCACUUACCAGGUUGGGCUGUGGCUUGCCUUUUCACUUCUUGUGUCCUGUUUAAGAAAUAUCUACUAUCCCAAGAUAACACUAACAAAGUUGACCUUAGAAUUGGAGUGCCUGGGUUAGAACCCUGCUGGUACCACCUGCUUACUGCAUGCUUCUGAUGUGAGUUCAGGAGAAGACACUGGCAAGGACAGCAAAGAACAGGAGAACACUCUAGCUUCCCUGAUAGCAUUCAAGGUGCUGUCCAAAGCUCUUGAGUUUCUGCUUUCAAGUGACCCUCAGAAAUUCCCCCAUUCACUGCAGAGGUUCUGUUUCUCCUUGCUUUGUUCUGACUUUACGGCAGAACUAAGCUGAUGAGUUAGUUACUAUGGGUUAUCACUUGGAUUUGAAGAACCAUCAUUUCUAGGCAUUGCUGCUCAGAGUGGGUCUGCCCUCAGGGGAAGCUGUCUAACCAGAGCCUAACCCACUAGGGUUUUAUCAGAACCUAACUGACCUGAGGAAAAGAAAUAUUCAACUCCAGCAAGCUCCAGCCUUCCAAAUGGAGGAGAAGAAAACCCAACUCCAGCCCACUUCAGCUAUCUUGUCCCACAUAAAGGGGAAGUGGAAGAAACCUGAGAAGCAGGCAUGAAGUUCACAGUCCAGAGGUACAGACACAUCAGAGUUCAGUAUCUGAUGAAUUAGAUGCAAAAACCUCAACAAAGUAUUAGCAAAUUGAAUUCAACAAUGUAUGAAAAUUAUUACAUGCCAUGACUAAUUGGAAUUUAUCUCAGGUAUACAAGCCAUGCUGAACAUCUGAAAAUCAAUUCAUGUGAUCCAUCACAUUAGCAGACUCAAGAAAAAAAACCACAUUAUCAUAUCAGUAGAUGUA
rnacentral:lncRNA from 1 species